rnacentral:rRNA from 1 species
AGAACGAACGCUGGCGGCAUGCCUAACACAUGCAAGUCGAACGAGACCUUCGGGUCUAGUGGCGCACGGGUGCGUAACGCGUGGGAAUCUGCCCUUGGGUUCGGAAUAACAGCGAGAAAUUGCCGCUAAUACCGGAUAAUGACGUAAGUCCAAAGAUUUAUCGCCCAGGGAUGAGCCCGCGUAGGAUUAGCUAGUUGGUGGGGUAAAGGCCUAUCCAAGGCGACGAUCCUUAGCUGGUCUGAGAGGAUGAUCAGCCACACUGGGACUGAGACACGGCCCAGACUCCUACGGGAGGCAGCAGUGGGGAAUAUUGGACAAUGGGCGAAAGCCUGAUCCAGCAAUGCCGCGUGAGUGAUGAAGGCCUUAGGUGUAAAGCUCUUUACCGGGAUGAUAAUGACAGUACCGGAGAAUAAGCUCCGGCUAACUCCGCGCCAGCAGCCGC